GACGAACGCUGGCGGCGUGCUUAACACAUGCAAGUCGAACGGAAAGGCCCUGCUUUUGUGGGGUGCUCGAGUGGCGAACGGGUGAGUAACACGUGAGUAACCUGCCCUUGACUUUGGGAUAACUUCAGGAAACUGGGGCUAAUACCGGAUAGGAGCUCCUGCUGCACGGGGGGGGUUGGAAAGUUUCGGCGGUUGGGGAUGGACUCGCGGCUUAUCAGCUUGUUGGUGGGGUAGUGGCUUACCAAGGCUUUGACGGGUAGCCGGCCUGAGAGGGUGACCGGCCACAUUGGGACUGAGGUACGGCCCAGACUCCUACGGGAGGCAGCAGUGGGGAAUAUUGCACAAUGGGCGGAAGCCUGAUGCAGCAACGCCGCGUGCGGGAUGACGGCCUUCGGGUUGUAAACCGCUUUCGCCUGUGACGAAGCGUGAGUGACGGUAAUGGGUAAAGAAGCACCGGCUAACUACGUG
rnacentral:rRNA from 1 species